rnacentral:snRNA from 1 species
UAACAUGCGCAGUGGCGGUACCGUAGCCAGUGAAGUUUAUCUGAAGGGCGGUUAUUGCUAGUUAAAAACUACUCCCAAUAUUCCACAAUGAUGGCGUGAAAUAUCGUCGUCAGAUGCAAUUUUUCCAGGCUGUCAAAGGC